rnacentral:misc_RNA from 1 species
GACAGACCGAGCUUGUUA